UACGUAGGGUGCAAGCGUUAAUCGGAAUUACUGGGCGUAAAGCGUGCGCAGGCGGCUUUGCAAGACAGAUGUGAAAUCCCCGGGCUUAACCUGGGAACUGCAUUGGUGACUGGCAGGCUAGAGUAUGGCAGAGGGGGGUAGAAUUCCACGUGUAGCAGUGAAAUGCGUAGAGAUGUGGAGGAAUACCGAUGGCGAAGGCAGCCCCCUGGGCCAAUACUGACGCUCAUGCACGAAAGGCGUGGGGAGCAAACAGG
rnacentral:rRNA from 1 species